UACGGAGGGGGCUAGCGUUGUUCGGAAUCAUUGGGCGUAAAGGGCGCGUAGGCGGCCGAUCAAGUCGGAGGUGAAAUCCCUCGGCUCAACUGAGGAAUUGCCUUCGAUACUGUUCGGCUUGAGUCCUGGAGAGGGUAGCGGAAUUCCCGGUGUAGCGGUGAAAUGCGUAGAGACCGGGAAGAACACCAGUGGCGAAGGCGGCUACCUGGCCGUGUUCUUGACGCUGAGGCGCGAAAGCUAGGGAGCAAACGGG
rnacentral:rRNA from 1 species